ACUCCUACGGGAGGCAGCAGUGGGGAAUCUUGCACAAUGGGGGAAACCCUGAUGCAGCGACGCCGCGUGAGCGAUGAAGCCCUUCGGGGUGUAAAGCUCUUUCGGCAGGGAAGAAACCAGACGGUACCUGCAGAAGCAGCUGCGGCUAACUACGUGCCAGCAGCCGCGGUAAUACGUAGGCAGCAAGCGUUGUUCGGAGUUACUGGGCGUAAAGGGUGUGUAGGCGGUUGCUUAAGUUUGGUGUGAAAUCUCCCGGCUCAACUGGGAGGGUGCGCCGAAUACUGAGUGACUCGAGUGCGGGAGAGGAGAGUGGAAUUCCUGGUGUAGCGGUGAAAUGCGUAGAUAUCAGGAGGAACACCGGUGGUGUAGGCGGCUCUCUGGACCGUAACUGACGCUGAGACACGAAAGCGUGGGUAGCAAACAGGAUUAGAUACCCUGGUAGUCCACGCCCUAAACGAUGCAUAUUUGGUGUGGGCAGUUCAUUCUGUCCGUGCCGGAGCUAACGCGUUAAAUAUGCCGCCUGGGGAGUACAGUCGCAAGGCUGAAACUCAAAGGAAUUGACGG
rnacentral:rRNA from 1 species